rnacentral:lncRNA from 1 species
UUGGCUUUUGUAUAAGGACAACCCCCUCUUGAAUUACAAAUGAAACCUUCCUUGCUUCAAGACAUAUGAUGAAGCCAUCCCCUAUUUUCAUCAACCCCCACAUCUCUUGCCCCACAUCCCUUCUCCUUUAGUGUGAAAACUUCUCUUCUACAAACCAGCCUCCUGUAAUAAGGAUGUCUCUCGAAAUUUGGGGCAGCUACAUAUUGGGGGCAAUAGGAGGGGUGGAGGGCCUCCUGUUCCUGCUUGUACUCAUUCUGUCUGGCUGUAUUUACCGGCUCCAAAAAAGAGUGAGGAGACUGGAGAGGGACAGGGAUGACUCUUUGGAGCAGCAGCUUCAUUAUGCCUCUUUCCAGGGACUUCCAUCUGGGCUGAAGGAACAAGCUGGAGAAGCUUUUCAAAAUGAUCCCAGUGGGGACUAUGCCUGUGUCAAGAAGUCUAGUAAUGUGUAGUUGCAACUUCAGAAGUCAUACCCAAGGAGUUUGUACCAGAAGGAUGCCAAUAAUAGUGAUGAUGCCGACCAAAAAUGCUAAGUGGCAAUGGGGAGAGAGGUCCAAGUUCCAAUCUGUUGAUGACCUCAACAUCUUCAUACUCUCCCCAGGACCCCAACAAAACAGGGGAGCUUCACCCCCAAUGAAUCCAAUAAAGAGUAUUUUGUUCUCA